rnacentral:rRNA from 1 species
UACGGAGGGUGCAAGCGUUAUCCGGAUUUACUGGGUUUAAAGGGUGCGCAGGCGGAUAUGUAAGUCAGUGGUGAAAUCUCUGGGCUUAACCCGGAAAUUGCCUUGAUAACUAUAUAUCUUGAAUGCUGUGGAGGUAAGCGGAAUAUGUCAUGUAGCGGUGAAAUGCUUAGAGAUGACAUAGAACACCUAUUGCGAAGGCAGCUUACUACGCAGAUAUUGACGCUC